rnacentral:rRNA from 1 species
CGGCAACAGCUCAAAUUUGAAAUCUGGCCUUUGGCCCGAGUUGUAAUUUGUAGAUUGUAUCUUGAGAGCGGAUUAAAGUCUGUUGGAACACAGCGCCUUAGAGGGUGACAGCCCCGUAAAAUCUAUUCUCAUUGUAAGAUACUUUCGAA